AUGUACGGCAAUCUGCCUUUAAGUAGGGAGAAAUUACAAAAAAAAAAAAACAAAAAAAACAAAGAAUCCUAGAUAGUUUCCCUUUCAAGUCAAGCACGUUGU
rnacentral:pre_miRNA from 1 species